rnacentral:rRNA from 1 species
UACAGAGGGGGCAAGCGUUGUUCGGAAUUACUGGGCGUAAAGGGCGCGUAGGCGGCCUGCUAAGUCGAACGUGAAAUCCCCGGGCUCAACCCGGGAACUGCGUCCGAUACUGGCAGGCUUGAAUUCGGGAGAGGGAUGCGGAAUUCCUGGUGUAGCGGUGGAAUGCGCAGAUAUCAGGAGGAACACCGAUGGCGAAGGCAGGUCACUGGGCCGCAACUGACGCUGAGGAGCGAAAGCAUGGGGAGCGAACAGG